UACGUAGGGGGCAAGCAGUUGUCCGGAAUCAUUGGGCGUAAAGAGCGUGUAGGCGGACUUAAAGGUCUGGUGUGAAAGCCCGGGGCUCAACCCCGGAGGGUCACUGGAAACCAUAAGUCUUGAAUCUGGAAGAGGAGAGUGGAAUUCCUGGUGUAGCGGUGGAAUGCGCAGAUAUCAGGAGGAACACCAAUGGCGAAGGCAGCUCUCUGGUACAUGAUUGACGCUGAGACGCGAAAGCGUGGGGAGCAAACAGG
rnacentral:rRNA from 1 species